rnacentral:rRNA from 1 species
AUCUGGGCGGUGAAAUUCAGGAUGACUGGCGGGCCUCGCGCACGUCCGGUCGUUUGAUAUUUUCGCUGCCGCGUCAGACGUCGCGACCUGUUCGUCGUCGGUCCCUGCUCGGAGGAAUCGCGAUCGAGUUCGUUGUGGGUGCGUUUCGGCGUGCCACACGGUGAAGACGCGAAUCUCUGGCCGACGAUGGACAGUAAGCAACGGUGUACGGCGUCGUGUCACGCGACGUCGUUACCGGUCGGCGACGAUUUCUUCGGGCCUCUUUCCGACCCGUCUUGAAACACGGACCAAGGAGUCUAACAUGCGCGCGAGUCGCGGGGUAUCGAGCGUACCCCGGUGCGCUCGUUACAUCACGAAACCCGUAAUGUUGAAGGCGUAAUGAAAGUAAAUGGGGAAGAUGGUGUUCCGAGUUCACGUUCCGUGAUCCAGUAUCGCGGCCGGACGCCCGCAUUCCCGGGGCGUCUCAAUAGUUCGUCGCGGAUGCGGACGGUUGUCUCUCGAGGCGGCCGUCGGUCUGCGACGGACCGA